CGGGCUUUAGCUCAGACUGGUCAGAGCGGCCGGCUGUAGACCGGCAGGUCCUGGGUUCAAAUCCCAGAAGCCCGA
rnacentral:tRNA from 1 species